rnacentral:rRNA from 1 species
UACGGAGGGAGCUAGCGUUAUUCGGAAUUACUGGGCGUAAAGCGCACGUAGGCGGCUUUGUAAGUAAGAGGUGAAAGCCCAGAGCUCAACUCUGGAAUUGCCUUUUAGACUGCAUCGCUUGAAUCAUGGAGAGGUCAGUGGAAUUCCGAGUGUAGAGGUGAAAUUCGUAGAUAUUCGGAAGAACACCGAGUGGCGAAGGCGGCUGACUGGACAUGUAUUGACGCUGAGGUGCGAAAGCGUGGG